GAUGGACGCUGGCGGCGUGCCUAAUACAUGCAAGUCGAGCGAACAGAUGAGGAGCUUGCUCCUCUGACGUUAGCGGCGGACGGGUGAGUAACACGUGGAUAACCUACCUAUAAGACUGGGAUAACUUCGGGAAACCGGAGCUAAUACCGGAUAAUAUAUUGAACCGCAUGGUUCAAUAGUGAAAGACGGUUUUGCUGUCACUUAUAGAUGGAUCCGCGCCGCAUUAGCUAGUUGGUAAGGUAACGGCUUACCAAGGCAACGAUGCGUAGCCGACCUGAGAGGGUGAUCGGCCACACUGGAACUGAGACACGGUCCAGACUCCUACGGGAGGCAGCAGUAGGGAAUCUUCCGCAAUGGGCGAAAGCCUGACGGAGCAACGCCGCGUGAGUGAUGAAGGUCUUCGGAUCGUAAAACUCUGUUAUUAGGGAAGAACAAAUGUGUAAGUAACUAUGCACGUCUUGAUGGUACCUAAUCAGAAAGCCACGGCUAACUACGUG
rnacentral:rRNA from 1 species